CCUCUCCCUCAUACUACCCUGCUUCGGUCCAAACAAUUCCCCUGUUCUUCUUCAUCUUCUCUUACACUCAGCUCUUUCUCUCCACCGAUUCUCUACUCUCAGACAUGAAUAGAACAAAACAAAACCUCUCAACCUCGCAUCUCUCGCACGCUCGAUACUCUCUCUUUUUGGCUUCGUUUUCAUAAACACAGUAAACCAGAUGCAAAGUAAAAGCAAGCCAACAAUAUACCCUAAUCCCAGCAAAAGCCCUAACCCUUUACAUUAUGUUCGUCAGAGUUACAAACUACACGAUUGAAACACAGAGAAAAAAGGAUAAUACCUGUAUACUGCAACAACAAAACAAAAACAGAAAUCGAAGAAGAUGAACAGAGCCCAGGUUGUGGAUGUCCAUAUAGGUGCAAGCUUUGGAGUGAUUAGAGCAGCAGAGAUGCAGAUUUUUGUUGUUUUACAUUGCUGUAAUUUUUUAACAUAUUGUGGAGCAGGUUUUGGAACAGAGAUGUGGACUGGUUAUAGCAGGAUGUGGGAUAGCAGGGUUGGAAUGUAGUGCUUGUAGUUUUUGGGGCAGGGUAUAGGAGCAGAGGCGGAAAAGGACAGCAUUCUUGGACAGUGUCAAAGAUAAGAUGGCGUGGGACACAUGAAGAGAACCAUUUUUUUUUAUUUCUGUAUUGUUCUAAAAAAAAUUGUAAAAUGGACUUUUAAUGUGAAAUGGGCCUAACCCAAAUUCACACAAA